rfam:Nitrospinae bacterium RIFCSPLOWO2_12_FTLL_45_22 rifcsplowo2_12_scaffold_11679, whole genome shotgun sequence.
GUCAUCGUGAGGUGGGGUCUGGAGGAAGUCCAAUCCAAAAGUGCGGGGCGACGAACAGGAACCGGAUAUGAGGUGUGGUACACCCGGGACGAGUGGGCACGUGACCAGGAAGUCCUCCAUCCGUGAGGUGGGUGUGCUUUAUAAAUCCGGCGUUUACGCGCUGAAAGCUCUGUGU